rnacentral:rRNA from 1 species
AUUGAACGCUGGCGGCAGGCCUAACACAUGCAAGUCGAACGGUAACAGGAAACAGCUUGCUGUUUCGCUGACGAGUGGCGGACGGGUGAGUAAUGUCUGGGAAACUGCCUGAUGGAGGGGGAUAACUACUGGAAACGGUAGCUAAUACCGCAUAACGUCGCAAGACCAAAGAGGGGGACCCUCGGGCCUCUUGCCAUCGGAUGUGCCCAGAUGGGAUUAGCUUGUUGGUGGGGUAACGGCUCACCAAGGCGACGAUCCCUAGCUGGUCUGAGAGGAUGACCAGCCACACUGGAACUGAGACACGGUCCAGUCUCCUACGGGAGGCAGCAGUGGGGAAUAUUGCACAAUGGGCGCAAGCCUGAUGCAGCCAUGCCGCGUGUAUGAAGAAGGCCUUCGGGUUGUAAAGUACUUUCAGCGGGGAGGAAGGGAGUAAAGUUAAUACCUUUGCUCAUUGACGUUACCCGCAGAAGAAGCACCGGCUAACUCCGUG